UACGAAGGGGGCUAGCGUUGCUCGGAAUCACUGGGCGUAAAGGGUGCGUAGGCGGGUCUUUUAAGUCAGGGGUGAAAUCCUGGAGCUCAACUCCAGAACUGCCUUUGAUACUGAGGGUCUUGAGUUCGGGGAGAGGUGAGUGGAACUGCGAGUGUAGAGGUGAAAUUCGUAGAUAUUCGCAAGAACACCAGUGGCGAAGGCGGCUCACUGGCCCGAUACUGACGCUGAGGCACGAAAGCGUGGGGAGCAAACAGG
rnacentral:rRNA from 1 species